GGGCCUGUAGCUCAGACGGUUAGAGCAACCGACUCAUAAUCGGUGGGUCGUGGGUUCGAUGCCCACCGGGCCCC
rnacentral:tRNA from 1 species